rnacentral:rRNA from 1 species
GGUUAAGCGACUAAGCGUACACGGUGGAUGCCCUGGCAGUCAGAGGCGAUGAAGGGCGUGCUAAUCUGCGAUAAGCGCCGGUAAGGUGAUAUGAACCGUUAUAACCGGCGAUACCCGAAUGGGGAAACCCAGUGUGACUCGUCACACUAUCAUUAACUGAAUCCAUAGGUUAAUGAGGCGAACCGGGGGAACUGAAACAUCUAAGUACCCCGAGGAAAAGAAAUCAACCGAGAUUCCCCCAGUAGCGGCGAGCGAACGGGGAGGAGCCCAGAGCCUGAAUCAGCAUGUGUGUUAGUGGAAGCGUCUGGAAAGGCGCGCGAUACAGGGUGACAGCCCCGUACACAAAAGCGCAUGUGCUGUGAGCUCGAUGAGUAGGGCGGGACACGUGGUAUCCUGUCUGAAUAUGGGGGGACCAUCCUCCAAGGCUAAAUACUCCUGACUGACCGAUAGUGAACCAGUACCGUGAGGGAAAGGCGAAAAGAACCCCGGCGAGGGGAGUGAAAAAGAACCUGAAACCGUGUACGUACAAGCAGUGGGAGCACAGGUUUACCUGUGUGACUGCGUACCUUUUGUAUAAUGGGUCAGCGACUUAUAUUCUGUAGCAAGGUUAACCGUAUAGGGGAGCCGGAGGGAAACCGAGUCUUAAC